GAAUCAAAUUUAUUCACCUGACUCCAGUCUUCUUUGAGUGCAUUGAUUUGAUUUCAAGAAGAUCGAGCUCCAAAAUGGACUCAGUGACUGUUGAGGACGUGGCUGUGGAUUUUACUGCAGAAGAAUGGGCACUGCUGGAUGUUUCCCAGAAGCAACUCUACAGAGAUGUGAUGGUGGAGACCUUCACAAACCUAGCUAUAGUAG